rnacentral:rRNA from 1 species
AAGCUGGCCACCGGAAGAGUUUGAUCCUGGCUCAGAUUGAACGCUGGCGGCAGGCUUAACACAUGCAAGUCGAGCGGAAACGAUGAUAGCUUGCUAUCAGGCGUCGAGCGGCGGACGGGUGAGUAAUACUUAGGAAUCUACCUAGUAGUGGGGGAUAGCUCGGGGAAACUCGAAUUAAUACCGCAUACGUCCUACGGGAGAAAGGGGGCAACUUGUUGCUCUCGCUAUUAGAUGAGCCUAAGUCGGAUUAGCUAGAUGGUGGGGUAAAGGCCUACCAUGGCGACGAUCUGUAGCUGGUCUGAGAGGAUGAUCAGCCACACCGGGACUGAGACACGGCCCGGACUCCUACGGGAGGCAGCAGUGGGGAAUAUUGGACAAUGGGGGGAACCCUGAUCCAGCCAUGCCGCGUGUGUGAAGAAGGCCUUUUGGUUGUAAAGCACUUUAAGCAGUGAAGAAGACUCUUCGGUUAAUACCCGGGGACGAUGACAUUAGCUGCAGAAUAAGCACCGGCUAACUCUGUGCCAGCAGCCGCGGUAAUACAGAGGGUGCAAGCGUUAAUCGGAAUUACUGGGCGUAAAGCGAGCGUAGGUGGCUUGAUAAGUCAGAUGUGAAAUCCCCGGGCUUAACCUGGGAACUGCAUCUGAAACUGUUAGGCUAGAGUAGGUGAGAGGGAAGUAGAAUUUCAGGUGUAGCGGUGAAAUGCGUAGAGAUCUGAAGGAAUACCGAUGGCGAAGGCAGCUUCCUGGCAUCAUACUGACACUGAGGCUCGAAAGCGUGGGUAGCAAACAGGAUUAGAUACCCUGGUAGUCCACGCCGUAAACGAUGUCUACUAGUCGUUGGGUCCCUUGAGGACUUAGUGACGCAGCUAACGCAAUAAGUAGACCGCCUGGGGAGUACGGCCGCAAGGUUAAAACUCAAAUGAAUUGACGGGGGCCCGCACAAGCGGUGGAGCAUGUGGUUUAAUUCGAUGCAACGCGAAGAACCUUACCUGGUCUUGACAUACACAGAAUCUUGUAGAGAUACGAGAGUGCCUUCGGAAAUUGUAUACUCAUGUGUGCAAAUGGCUGUCGUCAAGCUCGUGUCGUGAGAUGUUGGGUUAAGUCCCGCAACGAGCGCAACCCUUGUCCUUAGUUACCAGCACUUCGGGUGGGAACUCUAAGGAUACUGCCAGUGACAAACUGGAGGAAGGCGGGGACGACGUCAAGUCAUCAUGGCCCUUACGACCAGGGCUACACACGUGCUACAAUGGUAGGUACAGAGGGCAGCUACACAGCGAUGUGAUGCGAAUCUCAAAAAGCCUAUCGUAGUCCAGAUUGGAGUCUGCAACUCGACUCCAUGAAGUAGGAAUCGCUAGUAAUCGCGGAUCAGAAUGCCGCGGUGAAUACGUUCCCGGGCCUUGUACACACCGCCCGUCACACCAUGGGAGUUGAUUGCACCAGAAGUGGUUAGCCUAACUUAGUGAGGGCGAUCACCACGGUGUGGUUGAUGACUGGGGUGAAGUCGUAACAAGGUAACCUAGCCAGGAUCAAACUCUAAUCACUAGUGCGACCGCCAUGGCCGCGGGAUUGGUUACCUUGUUACGACUUAUCCUGAGCCAGGAUCAAACUCUAAUCACUAGUGCGGCCGCCAUGGCCGCGGGAUUGGUUACCUUGUUACGACUUAUCCUGAGCCAGGAUCAAACUCU